UUACAUGAAGAAAUGGAACAUAAAUCGCAGUUUGCAGAAUUUGACGUUUUUUUUUUUUUUUUUUUAAUAUACAUAUGUAUAGAAUGUUUAACGAGCUGAUUCCCGCUUCAUUAAGAUUCGGCAAACUUUUGACUUUGCACUGUUAGUUGACGUCGUCACGACGUCACACCGUCACGUGACACGUCCGUCUGUUGAUUCAGAUCGCGCCUCUUUUUUUUUGUUAUUAUUAUUUUCCAUUUUCUCGUACACGAACGAAAGCAAUCGAUUUUCGGAAUGCAUUUUAUUUCCAUCCGACGUGUUAAGGAAAGUCCUUCCGAUUUUGCCAUCUGUUAUCCCUCCAGAUUUCUAGCUCGGGACGGAAGCGUAGAUAUUAAUUAUUUUCCACUCUUUUUUUUUCUAUCUCUCUCCCCUCGAGAGGGUUUUCUUGCCCUUGUAAAUGAUACUUCACCGCCGUGCAAGCCGAUAGAUCAACCAGAAACUGGAUCCAGCCAGUAGGAGAAGUUUUGGCCAGGGUCUAACUGGAGAUAUACCGCCCGUUCCAGUUUGAUAUCCCCCGUCGUAAACGCUCGACGGAACGAUAUCGUCGCGAGAGAUUCGCGAUUAAACGCAAAAAACGUAGGCACAGAGAGAUAGAUCGGAUGCCAAUUUGUAUCGCAACAGUACAAAAUUUUCUUCUCUUAUACGGAAUCUUCAGAGAUCUAGAGCCCUGGAAUAUGUGGAUACAAGUUCCCCGUAUUAGUUUCGGUAUUUUAGUUAUUAGUGUCAUUAAGUUCGAAGUUGUAUUUUUCUUUUCUUUUACAUUUUUUUUUCUCGGAGAGAUAAAGUAAUAAAUUGGAUUUCGAAAAUUGAGGCCAGUGCUGAGGUAGUUAUUUUGUUAGGUAAUGAGACUCCAGGGAGAUACAAAUUUAAGUAAUAUUGUAUUAUCGUGUUAGCCUGUGGCCUCGUAAAACCGAUGCCAAUAGAAAUAAUUAAAAUUGAAUGAUAGUGUUGGAGAAAAACAUCGCCGCCGAUGCCGACUAAUGACGGACGAUGAGGCAAAAAAAAAAAAAAAAAACUGAAAAAAAAAAUAAACACGACAGAAAGUGGUGGUUAUUAAUA
rnacentral:lncRNA from 1 species